CAGGAUCUAAACAGCAUGGUUCUAUGAUUUGAGAAACAACAGCAUUCAUCACUUUAUCACAACAGCAAUGACCAACAGCAUAAACAACAAUAACAGGCCACAGCAUGAAAGAAAUAUUGGACAGUUUGAGGUUUAAUAGCAUGGCAGCUCAAACAUCAUCCCCAAGCUCAAUAUCAAUUGAAAUUCGAACAAACCAACGACUAACAUGGCAAUGGCAACAACAGCAACAUGGUUC
rnacentral:lncRNA from 1 species